rnacentral:piRNA from 1 species
UGAUUGUCAUGACAGUAUUGCACCACGUGU